rnacentral:rRNA from 1 species
ACGGGUGAGUAACACGUGACUAACCUACCCUCGAGUGGGGAAUAACCUCGGGAAACCGGGGCUAACACCGCAUAACAUCUACGGAUCAAAUGCGCAAGCAGCUUGAGGAGGGGGUCGCGGCCGAUUAGCUAGUUGGUGAGGUAAUGGCUCACCAAGGCAAUGAUCGGUAGCCGGCCUGAGAGGGCGCACGGCCACACUGGAACUGAAACACGGUCCAGACUCCUACGGGAGGCAGCAGUGGGGAAUUUUGCGCAAUGGGGGAAACCCUGACGCAGCAACGCCGCGUGGAGGAUGAAGCCCCUUGGGGUGUAAACUCCUUUCGAUCGGGACGAUUAUGACGGUACCGGAUGAAGAAGCACCGGCUAACUCUGUGCCAGCAGCCGCGG